rnacentral:misc_RNA from 1 species
UUGGAAUAUAUAAAACCUUUGCCUGUUAUACAUACAUCAAACAGGUUGGGAGAAUGUUUUGUUUCUUUUGUCAAUUGUCACCUUCACAUAGUACACAAUGUAUGCAAGAGCCUAGCCCUAGAUUAACAUUCCGAAUUCUCAAAUGCAAGGUCACCUUGCGCUAAUUGCUGUGCUGACUCUGCCAGACAAGUGAAGAACACACCUAUCAAAUUAGUUGUUUGUCUUGAAUUGUUUUCAUGUGAUUGACUUGAAAUAUUGAUAUUAAAUCUUUAACAAUGUCGAAAAAGUGAAUUUCCCAUGUACAAAAGAUAGUAUUGCAAAACAUUCUGUUGUACUUUUUUUUCUCUUUUCACGUAUGCAUUACUUUUAAAAGAAUGAAAAUUAUAUUGUGCAGACUGGGCAAGAAA